rnacentral:rRNA from 1 species
CCUACGGGAGGCAGCAGUGGGGGAUAUUGCACAAUGGGGGGAACCCUGAUGCAGCGACGCCGCGUGGGUGAAGAAGCGCCUCGGCGCGUAAAGCCCUGUCAGCAGGGAAGAAAAUGACGGUACCUGAAGAAGAAGCCCCGGCUAACUACGUGCCAGCAGCCGCGGGAAUUCGUAGGGGGGAAGCGGUAUCCGGAUUUACUGGGUGUAAAGGGGGCGCAGACGGCGAUGCAAGCAAGGAGUGAAAGCCCGGGGCCCAACCCCGGGACUGCUCUUGGAACUGCGUGGCUGGAGUGCAGGAGGGGCAGGCGGAAUGCCUGGUGUAGCGGUGAAAUGCGUAGAUAUCAGGAGGAACACCGGUGGCGAAGGCGGCCUGCUGGACUGCAACUGACGUUGAGGCCCGAAAGCGUGGGGAGCAAACAGGAUUAGAUACCCUGGUAGUC